UACAGAGGUCUCAAGCGUUGUUCGGAUUCAUUGGGCGUAAAGGGUGCGUAGGUGGCGCGCUAAGUCAGGUGUGAAAUUUCGGAGCUUAACUCCGAAACUGCAUUUGAUACUGGCGUGCUUGAGGACUGGAGAGGAGACUGGAAUUCAUGGUGUAGCAGUGAAAUGCGUAGAUAUCGUAAGGAAGACCAGUGGCGAAGGCGGGUCUCUGGACAGUUCCUGACGCUGAGGCACGAAGGUCAGGGG
rnacentral:rRNA from 1 species